AUUGAACGCUGGCGGCAGGCCUAACACAUGCAAGUCGAGCGGAUGAAGGGAGCUUGCUCCUGGAUUCAGCGGCGGACGGGUGAGUAAUGCCUAGGAAUCUGCCUGGUAGUGGGGGAUAACGUCCGGAAACGGGCGCUAAUACCGCAUACGUCCUGAGGGAGAAAGUGGGGGAUCUUCGGACCUCACGCUAUCAGAUGAGCCUAGGUCGGAUUAGCUAGUUGGUGGGGGAAAGGCCUACCAAGGCGACGAUCCGUAACUGGUCUGAGAGGAUGAUCAGUCACCCUGGAACUGAGACACGGUCCAGACUCCUACGGGAGGCAGCAGUGGGGAAUAUUGGACAAUGGGCGAAAGCCUGAUCCAGCCAUGCCGCGUGUGUGAAGAAGGUCUUCGGAUUGUAAAGCACUUUAAGUUGGGAGGAAGGGCAGUAAGUUAAUACCUUGCUGUUUUGACGUUACCAACAGAAUAAGCACCGGCUAACUUCGUG
rnacentral:rRNA from 1 species